GGGGUUGUGGCUCAGCGGUAGAGUGCUCGCCUAGCAAAUGUGAGGCCUUGGGUUUGAUCCUCAUCACCCCA
rnacentral:tRNA from 1 species